rnacentral:rRNA from 1 species
UGAGGAAUAUUGGUCAAUGGUCGGGAGACUGAACCAGCCAAGCCGCGUGAGGGAUGAAGGUACAGAGUAUCGUAAACCUCUUUUGUCAGGGAACAAAAGGCGCCACGCGUGGCGCUCCGAGUGUACCUGAAGAAAAUGCAUCGGCUAACUCCGUGCCAGCAGCCGCGGUAAUACGGAGGAUGCGAGCGUUAUCCGGAUUUAUUGGGUUUAAACGGGUGCGUAGGCGGCGAGUUAAGUCAGCGGUAAAAUGCCCGGGGCUCAACCCCGGCCCGCCGUUGAAACUGGCUUGCUUGAGUUGGAGAGAAGUAGGCGGAAUGCGCGGUGUAGCGGUGAAAUGCUUAGAUAUCGCGCAGAACUCCGAUUGCGAAGGCAGCCUACCGGCUCCAGACUGACGCUGAGGCACGAAAGCGUGGGUAUCGAACAGGGAUUAGAUACC